rnacentral:rRNA from 1 species
ACCGCUUUUGGAGUUCGAUUAAGCCAUGCGAGUCGAGAGCCUUAGGGGCUCGGCAUACUGCUCAGUAACACGUGGAUAACCUGCCCUAUUGUCUGGAAUAACCUCGGGAAACUGAGAACAAGGCCGGAUAACCCACAAUGCCUGGAACGGUUUGUGGGUGAAGAUAGGAUGGGUCUGCGGCGUAUCAGGUCGUAGGGGGUGUAAUGGACCUCCUAGCCAUCGACGCGUACGGGUGUUGGGAGACAUAGCCCGGAGAUGGAUUCUGAGACACGAAUCCAGACCCUACGGGGUGCAGCAGGCGCGAAAACUUCACACUGCAGGAAACUGUGAUGAGGGAACUCCAAGUGCAUUCACUAAUGUGGAUGCUUUUUUUGACUAUUAAUCGGUCAACGAAUAAGGGCUGGGAAAGACCGGUGCCAGCCGCCGCGGUAAUACCGGCAGCUCAAGUGGUCGUCGCUUUUAUUGGGCCUAAAACGUCCGUAGCCUGUUUGGUAAAUCUGUGGGUAAAUCAACCAGCUUAACUGGUUGAAUUCUGCAGAGACUGCCAGACUAGGGACCGGGAGAGGUGUGGGGUACUCUAGGGGUAGGGGUAAAAUCCUGCCAUCCUUAGAGGACCACCAGUUGCGAAGGCGCCACACUGGAACGGAUCCGACGGUCAGGGACGAAGCCUAGGG